rnacentral:rRNA from 1 species
UGGGGAAUCUUGGACAAUGGGGGGCAACCCUGAUCCAGCCAUGCCGCGUGAGUGAUGAAGGCCCUUAGGGUCGUAAAGCUCUUUCGCCUGUGAAGAUAAUGACGGUAGCAGGUAAAGAAACCCCGGCUAACUCCGUGCCAGCAGCCGCGGUAAUACGGAGGGGGUUAGCGUUGUUCGGAAUUACUGGGCGUAAAGCGCACGUAGGCGGACCAGAAAGUUGGGGGUGAAAUCCCGGGGGCUCAACCCCGGAACUGCCUCCAAAACUAUUGGUCUAGAGUUCGAGAGAGGUGAGUGGAAUUCCAAGUGUAGAGGUGAAAUUCGUAGAUAUUUGGAGGAACACCAGUGGCGAAGGCGGCUCACUGGCUCGAUACUGACGCUGAGGUGCGAAAGUGUGGGGAGCAAACAGGAUUAGAUACCCUGGGUAGUCCACACCGUAAAACGAUGAAUGCCCAGUCGUCGGGGUAGCAUGCUAUUCGGUGACACACCUAACGGAUUAAGCAUUCC